AGUGAACGCUGGCGGUAGGCCUAACACAUGCAAGUCGAACGGCAGCUCAGUCAGUGCUUGCUCCUACGGGUGGCGUGUGGCGUACGGGUGCGGCAUACCUCGCUGUCUUCUUUUUCGUGGGUCUUUCCGUAGGGAAACUUACGCUAAUACCUCAUAAGUCCUACGUGUGAAAUCAGUGGAUCUUCUGACCUUGUGCGAUUGAAUGAGCCGAUGUCGGAUUAGUUAGUUGGCCGGGUAAUGGCCCACCAAGGCGACGAUCCGUAGCUGGUCUGAGAGGAUGAUCAGCAACACGGGAACGGAGACACGGACCAGACUCCUAAGGGAGGCAGCAGGGGGGAAUAUUGGAGAAUGGGCGCAAGCCUGAUCCAGCCAAAGCGCGUGAGUGAGGAAGGGCUACGGGUUGUAAAGGCAGUUGGUUGGGAAAGAAAAGAAGCAGGUUAAUAACCGGAGGUUAUGACGGUACCCAAAGAAAAAGCACCGGCUAACUUCGUG
rnacentral:rRNA from 1 species